UCCCAGGUGCAGAGGAAGCGUCCUUCACGUGUUCCUGGAGGACUUUCGGCUCGCAAGCGCUUCUCCAUUCUCCCAAUGUCUCGGGCCUGCUCUAGUCCAGAGGAGAAAAGAAUAAUAAAUAUCACACUAAACACCAUGGAAUACUUCUCAAGUCACCAAAGAGAUGGAACUGGACAGAAUACUUCUGUCCAUAAGGCCCUUAGAAGCCCCCUAAGCGAAAUACCAAUGAGGACCUCCCCAGCAGCUGCUGUCUCUCCUGCCAGAGGCAUCUGGCUUAGAGCAGUGUGCGGUCGGCCAGCAAAGGGAUGACUCAAUGCUUGGACCUUCCUGAUCUUCCCCUUACAGAUCUUCGAAAGGGAAGGACCUAGGAACUGAAGCCAGACCCCCACCUCUGCAAGAGUUCCUUGCUGGAGUCACUCAGCAGACCCCCACUCUCUGGACUUUGGGGACAUGAGACUGCUGAGCACCUCCACCAGAGGGAAAGUGGAAGUGGCCCCAAGAAAGAGGGAACCACGAAGCAGUUUCAGUGUGGAAAGAAGAAACCCUCUGGUGGCCUUGGCCCGGGAAUAUGGCGGUUUCAAGUGCAAUGCUGUACUGAAAUGGUACCAGAAGAAGACAGAAGGUUACAUGGCAAUGAUAGUAAGAAAUGCUAAAGAUAUAGCUCAUACAAAAGCAGAAUGGAAUAUUCUGGAAGAAGUAAAGCAUCCCUUCAUCGUGGAUUUAAUUUAUGCCUUUCAGACUGGUGGAAAACUCUACCUCAUCCUUGAGUAUCUCAGUGGAGGAGAACUAUUUAUGCAGUUAGAAAGAGAGGGAAUAUUUAUGGAAGACACUGCGUGGCCUUUUCUAACACGGAAGCUGCAUUUAAGAGCCUUAGGGAUGAAGUGCCCUUUUGUGGAGGAGGCUCACUGAGCGGUGUUGGAGGCUGUGUUUGUGGUUGUGCUGGCUGUGAAACUGCCUCAGUCCUUCCUCUAGGACACAUCCUCUCCAUCCUGGAAUAAUCUGCAGGAUUGCAACAUUGUUAAGCAGCCAGUAUUGUGGUGCCUUGUGCUUUUCACAUCCAGACAGGGUUGAUUGAGCCCUUUAUUCUUUUGAGCUUUUACUUGGCAGAAAUCUCUAUGGCUUUGGGGCAUUUACAUCAAAAGGGGAUCAUCUACAGAGACUUGAAGCUGGAGAAUAUCAUGCUUAAUCACCAAGGUCAUGUGAAACUAACAGACUUUGGACUAUGCAAAGAAUCAUUCAUGACGGAACAGUCACACACACAUUUUGUGGAGCAAUAGAAUACAUGUGAGCUGCAUGUUAAACAUAAUUGGUUUGGAGCCUCCAUUUACUGGGGAGAAUAGAAAGAAAACAAUUGACAACAUCCUCAAAUGUAAACUAAUUUGCCUCCCUACCUCACACAAGAAGCCAGAGAUCUGCUUAAAAAGCUACUGAAAAGAAAUGCUGCUUCUCAUCUGGGAGCUGGUCCUGGGGAUGCUGGAGAUGUUCAAGCUCAUCCAUUCUUUAGACACAUUAACUGGGAAGAACUUCUGGCUCGAAAGGUGGAGCCCCCAUUUAAACUUCUGUUCAAUCUGAAGAGGAUGUAAGUCAGUUUGAUUCCAAGUUUACACGUCAGACACCUGUCGACAGCCCAGAUGACUCAACUCUCAGUGAAAGUGCCCAUCAGCUCUUUCUGGAGCUUCGCCAGAAUACCUCCUGGAGUUGUUGACAUUGGGCCCUACUGGAACCUUCCUGAAUGAUCAGGAUGUUGAGCUCCGCGAUCUGUUCCUCCAGCUCCGCCAUGCCCGGCCCGUACUGGCCUGCGCAGACCUGCUUCUGCAGGAGAGCCGGCGGCUCAGUCACCGCAGGACCGCGGUGGGGAGCCAGAGAACCCCACACGUCUCCCACCCAGAGAAGUGGACUUGGUCAUUUGGGCAGAGCGUGGACGAGCCUGGGAGCAGCCCGGGUGCACGCCCUGCAGCUCACCCAGGGGCGAGGCCAUUCUGCAGUGGCCCCUGAGUCCCACUGGUUCCCAGACGCUGGGCUCAGCCUCUGAGAAGUCUCCAGCUCCAUCCUACCUUGUCUGUGACCCAGCCUCAGUGCUUCCUGUCUGGACACCUCCAGCCAAGCUCUAGGGCCCUCAGAACGCCCUGCUCCACCCGGGCCCUUCCCCACUGUCCCUCUAUUGUCAUGAUGACACCCCUUCUGUGUGGCAUCAAAGCACAACUCCUCACCCAGGGAUCAGAAUGCCCCAUGACCUGGCUCUGCCCACCUGCCCAGAAAUCCCCAAGUCCCAUCGAACCGUAGGCUUCCUCCUGGCAGGUGCCUUUGCUCCUUCUUUCUGGAAUUGUUCUCUCCUCACUACUUCACCCUGAUCCAACCGAGCCCUCUCACCCCUCUGAGGUCUCUUCAUGUGCCUCCUCCUGCAGGAAGUCUUCCCUGACUGCACUGUCUCCUCUGCUGUCUCCCUGCCCAGACCCCUGAGCCACCCCUACACCCUGACUGUUCAAGCCUACAGUCAGGCCCUGGGUUAAAUGCAGUUCCGUAUCGCUCUCUGAUCACACUGGGGUGUGACUUUGAGCUCCUGACCUGUUUCUGCUCCAGCACGUGUGCCCAGUUGACCCUGGAUCCCACGUCUGGGCGGCAGCACCAUCUUCUCGUACAGGGCACGGUACUCGGCACACUCCUGGGUCACCUGCUCGUGCAGCUGCUCGAUGCUGUCAAGAAGCCGACCCAGGCCGGCAGGUCAGGGCUGGGCCUGGGUCUUCCCCAGGGACCCCCAGCCCUGCCGCAGCCCCACUCACUCCUUCUCAGUCUCCUCAGCCUGCGGGUGCUUGAGCCGCCGGGCCUUGUCCUCGUCCAGGAAGAGGUCCUUGAGCAGCACCUCGGCCUCCUUCAGGCUGCCGCCCGUCUCCUGCUGGUGCUGCAGGGCCUGGCUCUGCUCACUGUUCAGCCGGUCCUGUGGGCAGGGGAUGGGCAGACUCGCCAGGGCCCAGAGCCCCCACACCCCAGCUGCCCAUCACUGUGCGCCUGAGCCCCACCUUUGGGACCCCAGCUAUGCUGGCCAACCUCGAGGCCCACGCCAGGCACAGGGUCAGGCCCAGGGCGUCCGUGGGGCAGGUGACAAGGACACAGGGGAGCCCAGCAAAGAAGGAAGCUGAGCCCUCUCUCCCACCGUGUGUUAGGGGACAGGCGGUGCAGGACAAAUGUCAUCUGUCCCAUCUUCACCAUCACCAGGGGGCACUCAGGGAGUGCCAGGCCUGAUGAUGAGCCUUCCAUGUCACCCAGCCUGCCCACGCCCUGCCAACUGCUGCCAUGCCCGGGGCCUCACCUGCUGCAGCCUCUUCUGCGUCUCCAGGAUGUCCCGCUCCACCUGGUCGGGGUUGGCUUGCAUGCGGGAGAUGAGCAGGGCCAGCUCCUGGGUGGCAGCCCUGGUGGGUGGAGGGGACAGUGGGCAGCUCGGUGGAAGAGGCCCCUCUGUGCCCCAUCCAGGUGGCAUCCCUUGCCCUCCCUCCACCCCAUACUGCCCCCAGAGCCUAGCUCACUGCCCUGACUUUGGGGUCUCUCUCUGAAGGAGGCUCUGUGAGCUAGUCCUGGUUGGGGGUGUUAGCACUGCCCCGCCACAUGAGGGGUCAAAAGGUGAGGGUCUCAGGUCUGUGUGGUGCUGAGGGGGCAGGCGGCCUUGGUGUCCCAGCCUCAGCCAGCUGUGCUGGCAGUGAGUUCCCGACCCCACCCAGCUGCCUGCCACUUCCCCUCCGCGAGCCGGUGAAUCACCGGCUCAGCCACUAGUACCUGAGCCAGCCUGGCUGGGCCCUGGGAGGGGCAGUUGGGCUGGCUGGGGCAGGGAGGCAGCAGCAUGCCCCCCACCCCCACCUCCUCCCACUCCAGCCCUGUGUUCCCCUAUACCUCCUCCACCCCGGGGAGCUUUGCCAGAGUGCUGGCUUCAGUAGCCGUCUAGAGGAGCCUCACACUGUCAGAGCCGGGGAGGGGAGGCAGGCACAAGAGACUGCUGGGCACCCUAACAUUCUCCAGAGUUGAGGGUUCAAAGCCCAGAUUGGGCCCUGACUUGCUCUGAGUCACAUGGUCAGGGACGGAGGGGAAACCUUGCUUCCACCCCAGGGCUUUUUCUGUGCAUUCGCCCUGCAGCCUCCAUAGAGCACCUGCUGUGUGCAUGCAGUCACUCUGUGGAGGUCACAAGGUCAAGCAGACCUAAAAGAGGGCAGAUUGGUCCAAGCCUCAUGAGCACAGUGCCUUAUAGGGGAUCAUUAUCCUGGGGCAGGGGAAGCCUUGAACUGGGUCAAAGGAUGCCCCCCCCCCCCCACACCUCAGGCAAAGGGACAGUGCUGGUGAAGGCACAGCAGUCUGGAAGAACUCUGUGGCCAAGACAGCCUGGUUUCAUCUUUCUCCAUCAUUAAUGCUGUGUGACCUUGGGCAAGUUAACCUCUCUGUGCCUGAGGUGCCUCACUCGUAAAGCGGGAUUUUAAUAAAAAUAUCUAUGCCUUA